CUGUGGUCGGCAGAUAAGCCAUGGCGGGAAACGUCAAAAAGGAGAUGUCAAUGUCAUUGUCAAGGAAGGGGGGAGUUGAUUUGAAUAUGGAGUCGUGUUCUUGUACUUUCUGAUUUAAUUUGUUUGUUAUUGAUAUAAAUCCUCAUGUUUUCAAGUUGUAUUAAUGAUUUAUCGUAAAACGAACCUAUUUCACAAAUGAGUUUACUUUUUGUGCCACCUUUUCCUUCUGGUUUUAACAUCAGAAGUGGGAUUCUUUCCACGCGCUAUUUUCCGCUUCUGCCUAUGUUUUUCAUACAAUACAAGUUAAAUCAGAAAAAUACAGAAAUAUUGGUAUUCUGCACACUUUAUUUUAUAAAUUUUCUGUCCCCUAGGCGGUGAGUUUAUGAGUUCUUGUUGUAUAAAGCCGGUACGUAAGUACAUUGGUGUUGUGAAAAGAAGUAACAGGUAGUUUGGUAUUAUUCCUAUUUUGAAGUGCUGAGUUUUGGAUUGCCUAGAGCGUGGUGUUGAAGACUUUGAGAAGACGUUGCGGUCGAGGACGUCACGCCAUCAGGAAAGGCCGUGUUACAAAUAUAACUCCGAACCUCAGAAUAAUAACAGGAAGCAAUCGUAUUUACACCGCGACUACGUACUCUGUGGUCGGCAGAUAAGCCAUGGCGGGAAACGUCAAAAAGGAGAUGUCAAUGUCAUUGUCAAGGAAGGGGGGAGUUGAUUUGAAUAUGGAGUCGUGUUCUUGUACUUUCUGAUUUAAUUUGUUUGUUAUUGAUAUAAAUCCUCAUGUUUUCAAGUUGUAUUAAUGAUUUAUCGUAAAACGAACCUAUUUCACAAAUGAGUUUACUUUUUGUGCCACCUUUUCCUUCUGGUUUUAACACAUGUUUAU